AGAGAGCGGGGGCAGCAGUGCCGCUGCUCGGGGAGGCGGGGGACCGCGUGGAGCCACAGGGCAGGCCCUGAGGGAAAGAAAGAAAGUGCCGGGAAAGGAGGGAGAGGGAUGGCAGGAAGGGAAAUAAAAGAUGUGCGCAGUGACGUGGAUGCUCUGCCCCAGGUCCUGCGGAGGUCAGUGACCUCAGACAACGCGUGGGAGCGCAAGAGGGCACUGCAGGCCUGCUCCCAGCUGCUGGCUGCUUGUGAAGAGCUUCGAAGAGGAGAUGCCUGCAAACACUUUGGCUCCUUGGUGGGAUUGCUGGCGCCGCUGACGUGUGACCCCAUGCCCACGUCCCGCCAGUUGGCCGUCACCUGCCUGAGCUCCCUUCUGCGAAUGCAAGCCAAGGAGACCAACGGAGUCAUCGAGACGAGAGACAUCGGGAGUCUGCGUGAGGGGCUGAAUGCCUGCAGCACCGUCUCUCAGCUCCAGUCCUCAUCCAAAAUCGCGAGGGUCUUUUGCAGCAGCUUCCCCCUGGAACACGCCGUGGACUUCAUGACGGCCAUCAAGGAGACCUUCCGGGAAGCCAAAGGAAUGCGUGCGCGUGCUGCUGGGAAGUGGAUGAUCACCUUCCUGCAGAUGUACAGAAAGGACAUCCACUGGGACGUGCCACUGAUCCUCUACAUCCUGCGCAGCUGUGUGCGCUCCAUGCAGCAGAGCAUGUUCCUGCCCAUCCUGUGCCAGGCAGUGGUCAUCCUCACACACUGUCACGCAGAGCUCGCCAUUGACAACUUCUUCCGGCUGCUUGAGCCCACAGACAGUGACACGUGGAGGAAAAGAAUAAGAGCAUUUUCUCUUCGAGAGGGGAGCCGGUAGAGGAAUGCAAAGAACAGGAAAGCCGAG
rnacentral:lncRNA from 1 species